CCCAACUGAUAUGUUUGUUGACAAUCAGACCUUGAAAUCCGGUGCUUUGAUCCACUUUCACAAUAAGUACUUUGGAUCCAUCAAACGGGUGAACAUUUAGAAGCUUCUCUGUAGCAACAAGGAUGGAACCAACAACAACACGAGGAGCUGAUUUUGCCGAGCUACCAAGAGGAGCUCUUGUUUGGUUGAACUGAUCAUCUAAUGUUGAUCCUUCUUGAAAUAUAAUUUCAUGUGGCAGAAGGGAGGAGGGGUUGUUGUUCAUACUAUGGAAUUGGGAAGGACAUAACUGCUGAAGCACUAGCAAUUCGGGAAGCUGUGGAAAGAGCACUACAAAAGGGUUGGUCAAAGGUUCACAUACUGAUGCAAAGAAUGUCAUACAAAUGUUGCAAAAGAAUUUGAUAACAUCUUUGGAAAUAGAGACCAUUUGCGAGAAUGUCUGGCAAUAGAUGAAGUCUUUUGAAGAAAUCGAGAAGGUGCAGGGACGAAAAGUGAGGCGGAAGAGGUGGAGGAGGAGACGGUGCAGAUGGAGAGAGCAGAGAAUAUGGCGGCGGCGGAGGUAGUGGUUGUGGUGGUGGAGGUUGAGGUGAUGUCGUGAUGAUGAUGACGGAAGAGGGGGUGACGGGACGGGGAGGGAGAGGGGGAGACAGGAGCUUUGUGUAAAUAACAAUAUCUGAUGACCUUUAAAAAUUAGUGCAUUAACAAUAAUCUCGAUUGUAAACAUUAAAGCUUUUAAAGAUUUUUAAAAUCAGCACCAGAAAUCCUAUUACAAUGCUCUGGUGAUGUGCCGACCUUUUCAUUUGAUAGCCAAAAUUA